rnacentral:rRNA from 1 species
AGUGAACGCUGGCGGUAGGCCUAACACAUGCAAGUCGAACGGCAGCACAGUAAGAGCUUGCUCUUACGGGUGGCGAGUGGCGGACGGGUGAGGAAUACAUCGGAAUCUACUUUUUCGUGGGGGAUAACGUAGGGAAACUUACGCUAAUACCGCAUACGACCUACGGGUGAAAGCAGGGGAUCUUCGGACCUUGCGCGAUUGAAUGAGCCGAUGUCGGAUUAGCUAGUUGGCGGGGUAAAGGCCCACCAAGGCGACGAUCCGUAGCUGGUCUGAGAGGAUGAUAAGCAAAACUGGAACUGAGAAACGGCCCAGACUCCUACGGGAGGAAGAAGUGGGGAAUAUUGGACAAUGGGCGAAAGCCUGAUCAAGCCAAACCGCGUGGGUGAAGAAGGCCUUCGGGUUGUAAAGCCCUUUUGUUGGGAAAGAAAAGCAGCAGGUUAAUACCCCGCUGUUCUGACGGUACCCAAAGAAUAAGCACCGGCUAACUUCGUG